rnacentral:misc_RNA from 1 species
GGUCGGUGAUAGCAUCCAUCAGGAGUUUCGAUUCCUGCCGUGUCCAGUCGGCCGCCCUGGCGCGACCGCUGGAUAAAGGUGUGCCUGGCUGCGCGGUUGCCUGCAAUCAACUCUAGGGAUUUCCUUCCCGGGUUGUCUGCACACGGCCCGCCUGCCUUCUCGGUGCGUGUGCGUUGACGCGCCGACUUUUCCAACUUU